rnacentral:rRNA from 1 species
GCAAGUCGAGCGGUAGCACAGAGAGCUUGCUCUCGGGUGACGAGCGGCGGACGGGUGAGUAAUGUCUGGGAAACUGCCUGAUGGAGGGGGAUAACUACUGGAAACGGUAGCUAAUACCGCAUAAYGUCGCAAGACCAAAGUGGGGGACCUUCGGGCCUCAUGCCAUCAGAUGUGCCCAGAUGGGAUUAGCUAGUAGGUGGGGUAACGGCUCACCUAGGCGACGAUCCCUAGCUGGUCUGAGAGGAUGACCAGCCACACUGGAACUGAGACACGGUCCAGACUCCUACGGGAGGCAGCAGUGGGGAAUAUUGCACAAUGGGCGCAAGCCUGAUGCAGCCAUGCCGCGUGUGUGAAGAAGGCCUUCGGGUUGUAAAGCACUUUCAGCGGRGAGGAAGGCGAURAGGUUAAUAACCUUGUCGAUUGACGUUACCCGCAGAAGAAGCACCGGCUAACUCCGUGCCAGCAGCCGCGGUAAUACGGAGGGUGCAAGCGUUAAUCGGAAUUACUGGGCGUAAAGCGCACGCAGGCGGUCUGUCAAGUCGGAUGUGAAAUCCCCGGGCUCAACCUGGGAACUGCAUUCGAACUGGCAGGCUAGAGUCUUGUAGAGGGGGGUAGAAUUCCAGGUGUAGCGGUGAAUGCGUAGAGAUCUGGAGGAAUACCGGUGGC